UGCAUUCACUACUGUAAGUCUCUCUGGAUAAGAGCGUCUACUAAAUUACUAAAA
rfam:Salmo salar isolate Sally breed double haploid chromosome ssa29, whole genome shotgun sequence.